rnacentral:rRNA from 1 species
GACGAACCGUGCGAACGCUAUUCGGAAUCACUGGGCUUAAAGGGCGCGUAGGCGGGCUGACAAGUCUGGGGUGAAAUACCACGGCUCAACCGUGGAACUGCCUUAGAUACUGUCGGCCUCGAGGGAGGUAGGGGCGUGCGGAACUGUAGGUGGAGCGGUGAAAUGCGUUGAUAUCUACAGGAACUCCGGUGGCGAAAGCGGCGCGCUGGACCUCUUCUGACGCUGAGGCGCGAAAGCUAGGGGAGCAAACGGG